rnacentral:rRNA from 1 species
UAGGGAAUCUUCCGCAAUGGACGAAAGUCUGACGGAGCAAUGCCGCGUGAGUGAUGAAGGUUUUCGGAUCGUAAAACUCUGUUGUUAGGGAAGAACAAGUGUGAGGGUAACUACUCACACCUUGACGGUACCUAACCAGAAAGCCACGGCUAACUACGUGCCAGCAGCCGCGGUAAUACGUAGGUGGCAAGCGUUGUCCGGAAUUAUUGGGCGUAAAGCGCUCGCAGGCGGUCUUUUAAGUCUGAUGUGAAAUCUUGCGGCUCAACCGCAAGCGGCCAUUGGAAACUGAAGGACUUGAGUACAGAAGAGGAGAGUGGAAUUCCACGUGUAGCGGUGAAAUGCGUAGAGAUGUGGAGGAACACCAGUGGCGAAGGCGACUCUCUGGUCUGUAACUGACGCUGAGGAGCGAAAGCGUGGGGAGCAAACAGG